rnacentral:rRNA from 1 species
UACGAAGGGGGCUAGCGUUGCUCGGAAUCACUGGGCGUAAAGCGCACGUAGGCGGCUUUCUAAGUCAGGGGUGAAAUCCUGGAGCUCAACUCCAGAACUGCCUUUGAUACUGGAGAGCUUGAGUCCGGAAGAGGUGAGUGGAACUCCCGAGUGUAGAGGUGAAAUUCGUAGAUAUCCGGAGGAACACCAGUGGCGAAAGCGGCCACCUGGACUGCACCUGACGCUGACACGCGAAAGCUAGGGGAGCGAACGGG